AGAGUUUGAUCAUGGCUCAGAUUGAACGCUGGCGGCAGGCUUAACACAUGCAAGUCGAGCGGGGGAAGGUAGCUUGCUACUGGACCUAGCGGCGGACGGGUGAGUAAUGCUUAGGAAUCUGCCUAUUAGUGGGGGACAACAUCUCGAAAGGGAUGCUAAUACCGCAUACGUCCUACGGGAGAAAGCAGGGGAUCUUCGGACCUUGCGCUAAUAGAUGAGCCUAAGUCGGAUUAGCUAGUUGGUGGGGUAAAGGCCUACCAAGGCGACGAUCUGUAGCGGGUCUGAGAGGAUGAUCCGCCACACUGGGACUGAGACACGGCCCAGACUCCUACGGGAGGCAGCAGUGGGGAAUAUUGGACAAUGGGGGGAACCCUGAUCCAGCCAUGCCGCGUGUGUGAAGAAGGCCUUAUGGUUGUAAAGCACUUUAAGCGAGGAGGAGGCUACUUUAGUUAAUACCUAGAGAUAGUGGACGUUACUCGCAGAAUAAGCACCGGCUAACUCUGUGCCAGCAGCCGCGGUAAUACAGAGGGUGCGAGCGUUAAUCGGAUUUACUGGGCGUAAAGCGUGCGUAGGCGGCUUAUUAAGUCGGAUGUGAAAUCCCCGAGCUUAACUUGGGAAUUGCAUUCGAUACUGGUGAGCUAGAGUAUGGGAGAGGAUGGUAGAAUUCCAGGUGUAGCGGUGAAAUGCGUAGAGAUCUGGAGGAAUACCGAUGGCGAAGGCAGCCAUCUGGCCUAAUACUGACGCUGAGGUACGAAAGCAUGGGGAGCAAACAGGAUUAGAUACCCUGGUAGUCCAUGCCGUAAACGAUGUCUAC
rnacentral:rRNA from 1 species